ensembl:lncRNA novel transcript
AUUUGCAUCAGGCCUCUUUGGAAAAGUCAGAGCCUUCUAGGCAAGAAAGGAGAGGGAGAAAGUUGCCGGCCAAGUGAUGAAUAGGAAUAAAAGUCCUAAAAAUACAGGUUCUAUGGCAUAAUCAGAAAGCAAAAGGCCCAUAUUGAAGGAAACAGUGACGUCUAUGGCUUUUCCCAGAAGGAAGCCCAAACUUUGAUAAACCAAGUGAAGAUCUAGAUCUGCAGAGAAACACUAAUCCUGACUUAGGAGCCUGGUGUGAAAAAUCAGAAACUGCCAAGGGAAACUGUACUCAAAAGAGCACUGGAUAUGGGGUCAUUGAGGAGCAGGUGGACUCUCCACUGGGAAAUGGAAAACAUCAACUUUUAACCCUAGUUUUUCAACCAUAGCACUAUUGACAAUUAGGCCUAGGUAAUUCUUUGUUGC